UACGGAGGGUGCAAGCGUUACUCGGAAUUAUUGGGCGUAAAGGGCGCGUAGGCGGCCUGUUAAGUCUAGUGUGAAAUCCCCGGACUCAAUUCGGGAACUGCACUAGAUACUGGCGGGCUAGAGUUCAGGAGGGGAGAGCGGAAUUCCUGGUGUAGAGGUGAAAUUCGCAGAUAUCAGGAGGAACAACAGUGGCGAAGGCGGCUCUCUAGACUGAUACUGACGCUGAGGCGCGAAAGCGUGGGGAGCAAACAGG
rnacentral:rRNA from 1 species